rnacentral:misc_RNA from 1 species
AGCCCCAGCGGGACGGCGGCGAGUGGGUUUGGGAGCCGGGCCGGGACACGCGAGGCGACGGGGAGCUCACCGCAAGGCUGGAGGCCCGGAGGCUGCGUCCCCAAGCGCGCUGGGAGCCGAGAGACGGAGAGCGAGCGCUCUGCAGCGGGCGGUGGACGCGCUGAAGGCACCAACCCUGGAGAAGCUUCUGCUGGUGCUUGGACAUGCGCCUGGACCUUGGAGGAGCUCCCCGCUGAGGACCCCGACUGUCCCUGCUCAGCCCCCCUCCGAGCCAGCCGCCUGGGAGAGAGGCACUUGGAGCCCUGCACCCCAGCUUUGCGGAUGCACCCCAGCCCCUCUGAGCCCCACCCCUCCCCCAAGGGGAGAUGGGAACUAAAACGGCCUGGGAGGUCUGGGCCUGCAGCACAGCUCUCUGUGCCGGGGGACACCGGGCCCUGCCCUGGGGUCUGGAGACACUCACCGCUGUGGGCUGGGUGGGCUGCCCGCCUCAGUUCUGAGCCGGCGGAGAUCUCCUGGGCCACAGGCUGCAGCAGCUCACCUGGGGGCUGGGGUCUCGGGCAGCCCUGGCCUGCUGCAGCUCAGGCUGGGGGGCAGCUGGGGCGCGCGGCUGAGCCCGAGGAGAUGUGGGGCCCUGGGGCUGGGGGCUGGAAUCCGGCUGCUCGUCCUCAAGUUCAGGGGUGACUCUUCGGCCCCUGGGGAAAAUAAAGAGUGUGUUC